rnacentral:rRNA from 1 species
CCUACGGGGGGCAGCAGUGGGGAAUAUUGGGCAAUGGGCGCAAGCCUGACCCAGCAACGCCGCGUGAAGGAAGAAGGCUUUCGGGUUGUAAACUUCUUUUUACAGGGAAGAGUAGAAGACGGUACCUGACGAAUAAGCCACGGCUAACUACGUGCCAGCAGCCGCGGUAAUACGUAGGUGGCAAGUGUUGUCCGGAUUUACUGGGUGUAAAGGGCGUGUAGACGGGUUGACAAGUCAGAUGUGAAAUCCUGCGGCUUAACCGCAGAACUGCAUUUGAAACUGGUGGUCGUGAGUACAGGAGAGGCAGACGGAAUUCCUGGUGUAGCGGUGAAAUGCUUAGAUAUUAGGAGGAACACCAGUGGCGAAGGCGGUCUGCUGGACAGCAACUGACGGUGAGGCGCGAAAGCGUGGGGAGCAAACAGGAUUAGAUACCCGUGUAGUC